rnacentral:lncRNA from 1 species
UGUGCUCGAUCUGAUGGGGGUUGCUAGUUUUCCGGCGAGUUCGGUGAUAUGGGAGCAGCUGGGACUGUUGGUGACUGGUGUUGAGAAUGGGAAGAAGAAGAAACACCGAUGGGUUGGGUGGUCGCCUCUUCUGGUUUCCGUCGAACAGCAGUUGGUCUUUCGUAUGUCUCUAGGUUAGUUCUUUAGGUGUAUUUUUUGGCUCCUUUGGUCUUAUGAAGAAGAGGGAGAUCCUGUAUAGAGGGGGGGUCUCUUUGUUGUGAAUUGCUGAAGAAGGUGAAGUCAGGGGGAAGUCCACUUAGUGUUAGCGGCGGAUCCUAUCCCUUGUGUGUCUAGGGUUCUAGGUUAUAAUUUUAGGUGGGGAAAUGGAGCGGGUCAGAGGGUUAUUUGGGUCAAGUCUGGUUUUUCCUUAGUUUGGGUAAGGAGAUGGGCUAGUUUAAGUGAAGAAGGGGUAUUGAAAGAUUUUGGCUCACUCAUUACAUUGCCCAAUUUUAAGUUUUUGUUCAAAGUUCCUCCUCUUUUUUAUUUAUUUUUCUCUUUUUCUUAAUUUUUUAACUACUAAAUUUAAUUAAAAAUACUAGACUAAAAUCUAAUUUGUACAACCAUAUUAAUUAUUUAUUUAAAAUAUAAAAAUAAUUAAUUAACUUAGAGCUUAAUGCAAAGAAAUUGCUAAUUUGAGACCAAAAACUAAAAAUGUAAAAAUGGCCAAUAUUUUUUAUUUUUCUUUCUACUAAUGCAACUAACUAAUAACUUAAACCUAAAAAUGCAAAUAUCAACCUAAAAGUGCAAUGUAUGAAAUUUUAACAUUUUAGGGUAUUUCUCAUGUUUUUUGGAAUAUUAAAUAUGCACCAAAUUGUAACUAAAUGCAAAUACUUACCAAACAAUCAUUAUAAAUUGCUAAAAUAAUAAACACUCAAAAGAAAAAAUCCAUUUGAGACCUUUGUAGGAAUAUUAUUAUUCGGGCAAAAAUCACGUGCUCACAACUACCCCUCUUUGCUCGGGAACACGAAGAGUUUUCGAGCAAAGAUAAAGUGAGCAAAUAUGAGCGAUUUUUGCCCAUUUGGAUACUCUGUGGGAAGCAUUUUGAAAAGUUUGACCGAACCUUGCUUCCGAGAUUCCCUACAUAUCCUUAGCUAUAAAGGAAUUGGGUUAGUGUAGUUCAGGAAAAUGAGGAGGAGAUGAGUCAGACAGUCGAGUGAGGUGCCUUUACAUCGAAGUUCCGGUCCGUGGUCCUGUUAUUACAUCAUAAAUCAAGAUUCAAAAGACUAACUAAGCCUAUCAGCUACGAGUUACAAAAUCCCUAUCUAUGAGUCUUCCUAAGCUUGAUCUUGAGUCUUGGUUGGUUCUUCAUGCAGACUCUGAUCUAAAUCUUGAUGCUUGUUAGCUGCGGUUGUGAGUUCAAUAUUCCACGGCUUCUUCAGAUCAAGACCGGACAUGCAGUGCUUGUGACUUCAAUCAUGUCUUGAGCAGCUCAUAUCUUUCAUUUGCUUCUGCAUUUGGAUUCACUUCCCUCUUUUUUCCAUUUUUUUCUUUUUUAUUUUUAUUUUUUUGUUUUUUUUCUUGGAUUGAAACUUCUUCUUUGUUCAUCUCGGACUGUUGACCUGCAUUCUUGUCGCGAGCUUCUUCUACUUCUGAACUUAAAUGAACCAAAUAGGAAGUGCAUCUCCUAAUAAUGAAGUUGAAUGAACCAAACUAGGAAGUGCAACUCCUAGUGGUAAAAUCUCAAUUUAGGAAGUACAUCUCCUAAAAGUAUAUCAAGAACCUGGACUACGAAGUGCGUCUCCUAGGGGUAAAAUCUCAAUUUAGGAAGUGCGCCUCCUGAAAUAAAAUAUAACUUGAAAGACCCAAACUAAGAAGUGCCUCUCCUAGGGGUGAAACUUCAAUGACCCAAACUAGGAAGUGCGUCUCCUAGGAAUGAAUUUAAAUGACCAAAGCUAGGAAGUGUGUCUCCUAACAAGUAUAAUCUGAAAGACCCCUACUAGGAAGUGCAUCUCCUAAUGGGUAAAACUUUACGACACAAACCAGGAAGUGUGUUUCCUAGGAGAAAAACUUAAUGUAGGAAGAGUGUCUCCUAAAACAAAACAUAACAUGAAAGACCCAGGCUAGGAAGUGCAUCUCCUAAGGGUGAAACCUUGAUUUAGGAAGUGCAUCUCCUACAACAAAAUAUAACUUGAAAACCCAUACUAGGAAAUGUUUCUCCUAAGGGAUAUGUGUGAUCUUCCCAAUAGCCUUUGCAUAAGCAGAACUGGGGUAUUACACCUUAAAAAUUCAAGCUUCCAAGAUUUGAUAGAACAUAGCUUUCAUCCCUGUUUCAGACAAAGAAAACUUGUGAGUUUAAACAUGGUGGCUAAUUUGUGGCCUUCACUUUGAGGGCGAUUGCUCCUUCACUUGUCAUGAUAACGUUGAUUUCAACUUGAAAGACAUUGCUUGUUUAUUGACUAACCACUUUUUCUGUCACCCUUAUCAUAGAAAAUACCUCUGAUUCAUUCAAACUCAAUACUCUCUAUCUACUGCAUUUCUCAUGAAUUGACAUAUACCGAACCUUUGCAUUUCACAUGAAUCCAAAAGCACAUUGAUUGUUACCAACUCAGUGGGCUCGCUAUUCUUUUCCUGACGUAUGCCACUAGCCUUGUCCUUGAGGUCUAUUGCUCCUUCACUUGCCAUGAUAACUUUUAUUUCCAUUUGGAAGACCAUGCUUAUUAUUGGUUAACCACUUUUUCUGUCAACCUUAUCAUAGAAAAUAACUUUGAUCCAUUCAAACCCAACAUCCUCUAUCUGUUGCAUUGUUCAUGAAUUGACAUAUACUGACCCUUUAUAUUUCACAUGAAUCCCAAAGCACGUUGAUCGUUACCAACUCAGUGCGCUUGUUGUUCUUUCCUGACGUAUGCCACUUUGAUGUGCUAGCAAGAUCCCGUUUUGCACAAUUGGAAAACUGGUGGCAAAUUUUGAAGUCAUUUCUCACUUGUUCUGACCAAACAGACUUAGGAAGAGGAAGUAAAGAAGACAAAAGCAAUAGAGUAAGGACAAUGGAAAGAUUUUGAUUCCUAACAAGAAAACUACAAAGAAGAAACUUAUUAGAUAUGGAUACCAACUCUAAUGACAAUGACAUACACCUUUGGAUUAAGUGGCCUAAUCUGUCAAGCAAGUCUGAUGUUCAACUCUUGUCAUACCCCCUAAACCAUGAAACUUGGCUUCAAUGCUCCGAUUAUCCAAUUUGAUUCACGAUCCUUAUUCGACUUGUGGUGCCCGAAGGGUCUUCACCAUCAAGCCUCUCUCAAUUUGUUCUUUCUCUCAACUUACCAUCGUCUUAUGGUGCCUGUGAAGGUUUUCACCAAUAGGACUCUCUCAUUUUAUUCUUUUUCUUUUUAUUUCCAGUGAUUCUGUAGAUGACAAGACAUUAACCAUAAUAAAAACAUCAUAUGCUCCUGGCAUAGCUAACUUAGCACUCUCAAAGAUUAACUAGGAGGUCAUUUUUGGACUGUAAUGUAGCUUUUGGAUAGGGUUAGAAAGAAAUGAUAUCAUAAAGGCUCAAAACAACUAAGAUAACAGGGUUAAUUUAUUAACAACUUUUGGAAUCCAUUCUAAAACUUUUGCCCCAAUUUCUAAAACAAAGAAAUUGGAUUCUUUUUUUUCUUUUUAAGAUGGAAUUUCAGCCCACUCUCGACUUCGUGGGAUCAUGAAAUAUUUUAUUUGGUAUGAACGAACCGUAAGGCUGCCUACGUAUCUUGUGGUGACAAGAAUCAAGUCAAACGUAGUUAACGAGACUACUUUUGUUCCUAUUUUCCUUUUAUUUUUCCUUUCUUUCUUUUUCCCCCUUUUUUCUUUUUCUUUUCCUUUUUCUUAAUUUUUUUUUCUUUUUUUCCUUUAUCUCUAUUUUUCUUUUUCUUUUUUUGAAUUUUCCUUUUGGAAAGAACUUUUUAAAAUAAACCUAUGGGGACAUGAACUUUUUUUUCGUAUGACUCUAACUUGAUUCCAAAAGAGGGGAGGUCAAAGAAAUUAGUACAGGCUAAAAGGGGUAUUCAAAUGGUAUAAGUGUUUGGGUAGCUAAAACAGGUCUCCCACUCCUUGAAAAUACCAUGUACAACACAUGCAACUUGAAAUGAAAAAGGAACAGCACAAGCAACAUUUCUUUUACAACUUCGACAUUGAUAUCACUGAUAUGCUUUCCAUUUUUUUUAGUGCUUUGUCAAGUACAGAACUCUCGUUGGGUAAUUUCUUCUUCACAGUGGAUACCUCCGUCGGCUUGGAGCAAAAUCCCUUGGCUUAUCUUGUUACUUGAGAUGCGCUCGAGCUCAAAGUUGCUCGCUUCAAAUUGUUGGGAAGCACUCUCUUGCAACAAAUUCUUGACAUCCUAUUAACAUUCCAAAUUAUCUGCCCCAGUUUCACACAGUUCGGGCUUUAAAUGAUCUCAAAGUGUUCAAAUAUGUACUCAUUUCCCUCAAAUGUCCCUAUCAUCUUCAAAUUUAUUUCAUUACUUCAUGAUUAAUCUAGCUUUUAAUGCCAGGAUUAGAAUUAUGUGUGUGUGUCAUAUCACUAGAGCCAGCAUGAAAAGAACUAAAAAAAGAGAAGGGAGUUAUACCAAAAAAUGACUAGAAAUAACAAAAAACAGAAAAUUGCAUUAGAUAGAUGGUGAAAGGGUUUGAAUAACAAAACUAGCAAACUAAACUAGGGUUACAAUCCUGGAACAAACCUAGAUAACACUAAACGAGUUACUACGACUAAACGAACUAGGAAAAAUAAAAGGAUAGAAGGGUUUGAUCCACAAGAUAAUAUCCAGAUUACAACCUUGAAAUAAACUGGACAACAGAAAUGACAACAAAUUAAACCACCAAGACUCCUCCCUGGCUAACCAAGAAAGGAGCAUCUUUCCAAUCACCAAGCUCAACAUCAUAGCCAUUGAGUUCCGCAUCAACAGUACUAGGACCCUUACAAGUCUUCAUCGCAUUGUCCCUAGCAAAUUGCUUUUGGGUCCUUUUCCCCGGCUCGUUCUUAGAAUCAACUUCCGGAACCAAGAGUGAUAGCGCUGAAAGCUUUGCGGCAAGUGGCCCUUCGAGGAUCUCAGAAGAGUUUCUCAUAUUACUUUUACACACAAAUCAUGUCCACCAUAUGCAUCUCAUUAUGAACAGAGAAUGGACUUUGGCUAGAAUCUGCUGCAUUUGGGUUUUGCACGGUAAUGUCACCUGCAUCAAUAAGCUUCUGGACUGCUCCUUUCAGAUGCCAACACUUUUCUAUGUCAUGCCCCGGGGCACUUGAGCAAUAUGCACACCUUUGAGAAAAAUCAAAAUUCUUUGGAAGAGGGUUCGGUAUUUUUAUUUGAAUCGGCUUCAACAUGUCCAAUUGCAUCAGCCUUUUGAACAGACUGGCAUAUGAUUCUCCAAUAUGAGUGAAAGACUUUUCUCUUUGUUGCUGCCUUCUCAUUUGUACUCUAGCCUCGGUUGAAACCUUUUGCAGGUAGGUGGUUGAUAUACUUGAGGAGGCGGGUAAGAUAUUUGCAGAAAUAGUGCAGGCCAUCGCGGGUCUCGUUGGUGUGGAGCAUAUGGCGGUGCAUUAUGGAUAAGGUACUGGGAAGGUGAGGUAUGACUUUGGGGAUUUUAUGGAGAGAAGUAGCAUUGGGGAGGAUUAUUUGGAGCACGAGGAUAUCCAUGGGGUCGAUAUUGAGGCUGAAAGCAUUGAGCAGGUAAGCGGUACCGCACCUGCGAUAUACCGCACCUGCGAACGGGAAAUCGCAGGUGCGGAAAUUGGAAUUUAAGUGUAAGUCGCAGAUGUGACCCCUUGUUCCGCACAUGCGGGACCGCAAAAGCGGUCCCAAGGCCGCAGAUGCGUAAACUGCUGGGCAGAUUAUUUUAAAAGGGGUUCCGCGACUUUGGGGUUUAUUUCACCAUUUUUAUCAUGGCUUGGGAGCUUUUGGGACGAUUUGAAAGAGGGAUUUCAAGGGAACUUCAUUGAGAUAAGGAAUUUGGACCUAAAUCGUUCCUAUGCUAUUAUUUUACAUAUUAGAGCUAGAAAUCAUGGAAAUUAAGGGUGAAAAUUUGGGGAAACUAGGGCUUAGUAUUGGAGACCCUUAAGUAAUGAUUUGAGGGACCAUUUGAGGUUGGAUUUUGGUAAUUUUAGUAUGCAUGAACUCGUGAGAGUGUGAGGAUUUUGAAAAUAUAAAUUUUACCCGCUUCCGAGAAGUGGGUCCGAGGGGCAUUUUGGUCAUUUUACCUAAUUUUGCAUAUUAGCUUAGAAUUUCUUUGUAGAAUCAGUUACUUGAAGUGUUAUUUAUAUUAUAAAAUUAAAUUGAAUAAAUUUGGGCUAUUUGGAGUCGAGUACUCGUGGCAAGAGCGUGGUUUCGGAUUGAUUAUUGAGCAGGUUCGGGGUAUGUGGCUUGUCUAACCUUGUGUGGGGGACUUUCCCCUUAGGAUUGGUAUUGUGAUAAUUGAAAUGCCUUGUACGUGAGGUGACGAGUGCGUACUUGUGCUAAUUGUUGAAAAUCCAAUUUUCAUUAAGUAAUUUUUAUCGUGUUUUCCCUUUCUAUUUAUUUUAUUUGCACCUUUAAACCUGAUGUUAGUUAGAGAAGCAUGUCUAAUUGACAUAAUUGCUUUAUUUGCUUUAACUGCCUUAUUUGUAUUACGUGAAGCAUGAUAGGUUAGAACUAUCUAUGAACCUUGUUAUGAAGAUGAGUUUAUUUGAGUAUUCCUUGUGCCAUUGUUGUGUGUUUUACUUUGGGACUACGGGACGUCAUCCUGGAAGAUCUCAUGUACGCAUUUACGAUUUGGGCUGAAGUACGGGAUACCAAGAGAUCCCUAGCAUACAUUGAGGAUACCAAGAGAUCCCUAGCAUACAUUAAGGAUACCAAGAGAUCCUCGGUAUACCAAGAGAUCCCUAGCAUAUAUUGAGGAUACCGAGAGAUCCCUAACAUACAUUGAGGAUACCAAGAGAUCCCUAGCAUAUAUUGAGGAUACCGAGAGAUCCUCGGGAUACCAAGAGAUCCCUAGCAUACAUUGAGGAUACCGAGAGAUCCUCGGGAUACCAAGAGAUCCCUAGUAUAUAUUGAGGGUUCUAAGAGAUCCACGGGAUACUGAGAGAUCCCCGGUUAUUUCCUUGUGAAUGUUUUUGCCUCUGUUUGCAAUUAUUGAAUUCCGUGUUUUCCUGUAUAAAAUUCUUAUCAUUAGUUUUAAACUGUACUGCUUAUCUUAUACUAUCAUGUCUUAUAUUCUCUAUUUUAUCUCAGUAGGGCCCUAACCUUCCUCGUCACUAUCCAACCGAGGUUAGGCUUGGCACUUACUGAGUACCACUGUGGUGUACUCAUGCCCCUUUCUGCGCAUGUUUUUCAUGUGCAGAUCUAGGUACCGCUACUCAGGCCUACCAUCCUUGAGGGAGGUGACUACUCUAGAGACUUCGAGGUAUAUCUGCCGCGUCCGCAGACCAAGAAAUCCCUUUCUAUUCCAGCUUUUAGUAUUUAGCCCUUCUGUAUUUUUCUGUUCUUAUUAGACAUUCCGGAGUUAGAGCUAUGUAAUAUUUCUCUUAGCUUGUUAUUCGUGGGUUUCCGGGUCUUAGAUUUACGUAUUGGUAUUGAGAGUAAAACGUGGUGUAUGCCGAGCGGCGCAUUUAGAACAUUGUUAUUACUUUAUUUCUGUUUUAAAUUAUUUUACUUUCGCAAAUUUUGAUUUUUAUUUCGCAAAUUUAGGCUUACCUAGUCAUAAAGACUAGGUGUCGUCACGACAGUUCACGGAAGGCAAACUAGGGUCGUGUCAUGACCCUAACCCGAACCCAGUCGUGAUGGCACCUCUCGUGAAGACAAGGCCAGCCAACUAUUCCCAAUUCGACGUUAAAUAGUUAAAACAGCAGUAAAACAGUCUAAGACAUGAUUAAUAAUAUGAAGUAGCAGAUAAUAUCGAUAAAAAAAAUGCGGAAGUACAACCCAACACAGCCCUAACCGGGGUGUCACAAGUCAUGAGGGUCUAUAGGCCAUAAUACAAGUCUGCUAAAUCCAUAAACUAGUACAAAUGUUUGAAGGGAAAUAGAAAUGAUAAAAGAGUAGAGACACGGGGCUGCGAACGUCAAGAAAUACCUCGUAGUCUGCGAACACUCGCCUGAAAUUGGAGGGAUCAGCACUCGGGAGCGGUACCAGCUACGCCUGAAUCUGCACAUAGGGGUGUAGGGAGUAAAGUGAGUACUCCAACUCAGUGAGUAACAAAUGUAAAUAAAGGCUGAAAGCGGGAAAUCACGUAGGGCACAAAGCAUUCUUUAAUGAAGCACUGAAACCAUUUCAAAAUGAUAAAACAGUGAAAGAUAGGUAAAAUCCUUUAACUCAAAAUUUAACUUCAUGAAAAGCCCUUUUCAAUGAUUAAGCAGGUAAUUAACAGUCAGUUAUGAAAAGUAAACACAUAAAGGCUCGCCCCUUCGGCACAGUAUCGACAAAUCCGCCCCUCGGGAAACAUCUCAGAACAGUACCAGCCCCUCGGGCAAUCAUAUAGAACAAUGCCAGCCCCUCGGGCUCAAUCUCACAUCACAAUAGGUACCUGCGAUCACUGGACAUCAAACUAGGCCCUUGGCCUCAUAUCAAUCAAGCCACCUCGUGGCAUACAUAUCUCAGGCCCUCGGCCUCAAAUCAGUAUCAGUGUUGCCUCACAACAUAGGUCUUGGCCUUACUCAGUCAAAAAUCCUCACAAGCCCCUCGGGCAAUAGUAAAAUAGUGUUUCUCAGCCCAAACCUCAUUUAAGAUGUAAUUUAAAUAUUAAAACUAAGUAAACAUGGCUGAAUAGUAAAACAGUGGAAAAUAACAUGACAGAGUUCAAGUAUAAAGUCAAAACAGUGAGGAAAUAUCAAUAAAAAUCUUCGAAGGGUUCAAAUAGUGGCACUAGGCCCAAAUAUAGCAUUCAGCCCAAAUAAUGAUGAUAGUAAAUAGUUUUCAAUCAAAUACGUGGUAAAAUCAUCAAUCGGGACGGACCAAGUCACAAUCCCCAAUAGUGCACGACCCCACUCUUGUCAUCAAGUGUGUGCCUCAUCUCAAUAUAGCACUACGAUAUGCUCUUCGGGGAUUCAAACCCUCAAACAUCAUUUAAAAUCAUUACUCACCUCGAAUCGGCCUCCACGCACGUCGAAUCUAUCCAAAAUCAGAACGAGGACGUCAAAGUAUACUAAGGGAACAAAGCCCAAGCGAAAACAAUCAAUAAAGGACACAAAUCCCGAAAUUACCAAAACCCGACCCCCGAGCCCACGUCUCGAAGGUCAAAAAUAUUUACACCAAUAGAUUACUUAUCUUCCCAUGGUUCAUACAUACCAAGAACACCAAAAUUCAUCCACAAAUGACCCUUCAAAUCCUAAAUGUUUGGUCUCCAAUUUGAAGCCCUAGUUCUUCAAUUUUAGGCUUAGAUUCCAUGAUUUUCUGGGUGAAAUUUACAUAAUAAUGUUUUAAGUCCGAAAAUCUUACCUCCCAACGAUUCCCCUUGAAUCCCUCUUCAAUCACCUUCAAAAAUCUCCCAAAAUGGCCAACUAUGGAGGAAAUGAGCCCCAAAAUCGCGGACAAGACGAGUUAAAAACAUUCUACCCAGGCCUUAAUUUCCUUCUUCGCGAACGCGGUCAAAGCCUCGCGUUCGCGAAGCACAAAUUUACUUGGACCAAUUUUUCUCCUGCGCGAAUGCAACAUGGCCAUCGCGAAUGCGAUGGUUUCUCAACCCUUCCCUUCGCGAACGCACCCCUCUCUCGCGAACGCGAAGAACAAACGCGACCUCAGACCAGCUGACCAAAAAGACCUUAUGCGAAUGCGACUUACAUCUCGCGAAUGCGAUGCACCAACUUCCAGCCCUUCGCGAACGUGAAGGCUAAACUUCCAAUGACCCCCACUAACUCUUCGCGAACGCAAGGGUGCACUCACGAACGCAAAGAGUAAAAGCUUGCAACAGCUGAACCUGCAACUUCUGCAAUUUUUCCAACUUCAAAAUGAUCCGAUUGACCACCCGAAACUCACCCGAGGCCCCCGGGACCUCAACCAAAGGCACCAACACAUCCUAAAACCUUAUUCAAACUUGUUCCAAUCAUCAAAACACCUCAAAAACAACAUCAAAUCACCCAAAACACAUCAGAUUCAAGUCUAAAUUUCUAAAAUCUUCCGAAAUACGAUUUUGAUCAAAACCCAACCAAACCACGUCCGAAUGACCUUAAAUUUUACACACACAUCCCAAAUGACACAAUGAAGCUGUUUCAACUCUCGGAAUUCUAUUCCGACCCCUAUAUCAAAACCUCUCCUAUCAACUGGAAAUUGUCAAAAUCUCAACUUCGCCAAUUCAAGAUUAAAUCUACUCCGAACCUCCAAAACCCAUUUCAGUCACGCUCCUAAGUCAUAAAUCACCUCCCAAAGCUAACCGAACCAUCGGAACUCACAUCCGAGCCCUCUAACACAUAAGUCAACAUCCAGUUGACUUUUUCAACUUAAACUUCCUUAAAAGAGACUAAGUGUCUCAAACCUUACCAAAAUCAUUUCGGAUUCGAUCCGACCAACCCGAUACCACAAAAUACGGAUAAUGAAGCAUAAAUAAGUAGAAAUAGGGAAAACGAAGCGGUAACUCAUGAGACGACUGGCCGGGUCAUCACAGGUCGUGAUAGAAAGCUGGUGGUAAAUUUUGAAGUCAUUUCUCACUUGUUCUGAUCAAACAGACUCAGGAAGAGGAAGUAAACAAGAAAAGGAACAAAGUAAAGACAAUGGAAGAGAUGAUUUCUAACAAGAAAACUACAAAGUAGAAACUUAUUGGAUGUAGAUACCAACUCUAAUGACCAUUACAUGCACCUUUGGAUUAAGUGGCCUAAUCUGUCAAGCAAGUCUGAUGUUCAACUCUUGUUAUACCCCCUAAACCGUGAAACUGGGAUUCAAUGCUCCGAUUAUCCAAUAUUAUUUACGAUCCUUAUUCAAAUUGUGGUGCCCGAAGGGUCUUCACCAUCAAGCCUCUCUCAUUUUGUUCUUUCUCUUAACUUAUCGUCGCCUUAUGGUGCUUGUGAAGGUUUUCACCGAUAAGACUCUCUCAUUUUGUUCUUUUUCUUUUUAUUUCCUCUGAUUCUAUAGAUGGCAAGGCAUUAACCAUAAUAAAAACAUCAUAUGCUCUUGGCAUAGCUAACUUAGCACUCUCAAAGAUUAACUGGGAGGUCUUUUUUGGACUGUAAAGUGGCUUUUGGACAGGGUUAGAAAGAAAGGAUAUCAUAAAGGCUCAAAACAACUACGAUAACAGGGAUAAUUUAUUUAUAGCUUUUGGAAUCCAUUCUAAAACUUUUGCCCUAAUUUCUAAAACAAGGGAAUUGGAUUCUUUUUUUUUUAGAUGGAAUUUCUGCCCACUCUCGACUUCGUGAGAUCAUGAAAUAUUUUAUUUGGUAUGACCGAACCGUAAGGCUACCUAUGUAUCUUGUGGUGACAAGAAUCAGGUCAAGCGUAGUUCACGAGACUACUUUUGUUACUAUUUUCCUUUUUCUUUUCCUUUCUUUAUUUUUCCCCCUUUUUUUCUUUUUCUUUUCCUUUUUCUUUUUUUUCUUUUUUUCCUUUAUCUCUAUUUUUACUUUUUUUACUUUUUUUUUAAUUUUCCUUUUGGAAAGAACUUUCUAAAAUAAACCUAUGGGGACAUGAAUUUUUUUUCGUAUGACUCUAACUUGAUUUCAAAAGAGGGGAGGUCAAAGAAAUCAGUACAUGCUCGAAAAGGUAUUCGAAUGGUAUAAGUAUUUGGGUAAUUGAAAGAGGGCCUCCCAUUCCUUGAAAAUACCAUGUACAACACGUGCUACUUGAAAUGAAAAAGGAACAACACACGCAACAUUUCUUUUACAACUUCGGCAUUGAUAUCACUAAUAUGCUUUCCAUUUUUUUAGUGCCUUGUCAAGUACAUAACUCUCAUUGGGUAAUUUCUUCUUCACAGUGGAUACCUCCGUAGCUUGGAGAAAAAUCCCUUGGCUUAUCUUGGUACUUGAGAUGCGCUCGAACUCAAAGUUGCUCGCUUCAAAUUGUUGGGACGCACUCUCUUGCAACAAAUUCUUGACAUUCUAUUAACUUUCCAAAUUAUCUGGCCCAGUUUCACACAGUUCGGGAUUUAAAUGAUCUCAAAGUGUUCAAAUCUAUACUCAUUUCCCUCAAAUGUCCCUAUCAUCUUCAAAAUUAUUUCAUUGCUUCAUGAUUAAAUUAACUUUUAAGGCCAGACCUAUAAUUAUGCGUGCAUGUAAUGUCACUAGAGCCAGCAUGAAAAGAACUAAAAAAAGAGAAGGGAGCUAAACCAAAAAAUCACUAGAAAUAACAGAAAACAGAAAAUUGCAUUAGACAGGUGGUGAAAGGGUUUGAACAACAAAACUAGCAAACUAAACUAGGGUUACCACCCUAGAACAAACCUAGAUAACACUAAACGAGAUAAUACGACUAAACGAACUAGGCAAAAUAAAAGGAUAGAAGGGUUUGAUCCACAAGACAAUAUCCAGAUUACAACCUUGAAACAAAACUGGACAACAGAAAUGACAACAAAAUAAAUCAUCGAGACUCCUCCCUGGCUAACCAAAAAAGGAGCAUCUUUCCAAUCACCAAGCUCAACAUCUUAUCCACUGAGUUCCGAAUCAACAGUACUAGGACCUUCACAAGUCUUCAUCGCAUUGUCUUCAUGCAUUUGGCUAGAAUCUGCUAAAUGUAUGUUAGGGAUCUCUUGGUAUCCCGAGGAUCUCUCGGUAUCAUCAAUAUAUGUUAGGAAUCUCUUGGUAUCCCGGGGAAUUUUUGGUAUCCUCAAUGUAUGCUAGGGAUCUCUUGGUAUCCCGAGGAUCUCUCGGUAUCCUCAAUAUAUGCUAGGGAUCUCUUGGUAUCCUCAAUGUAUGCUAGGGAUCUCUUGGUAUCCCGGGGAUCUCUUGGUAUCCUCAAUGUAUGCUAGGGAUUUCUCGGUAUCCCGCACUUCAGCCCAAAUCGUAAAUGCGUACAGGGGAUCUCCCAGGAUGUCGUCCCGUAGUCUCAAAGUAAAACACACAACAAUGGCACAAGGAAUACUCAAAUAAACUCAUCUUCAUUAACAAGGUACACAAACAAUUCUAACCUUGCAUGCUUCACGUAAUAUAAAUAAGGCAGUUAAAGCAAAUAAAGCAAUUAAGUCAACUAUGCAUGCUUCUCUAACUAACAUCAGGUUUAAACGUGCAAAUAAAAUAAAUAGAAAGGGAAAACACAAUAAAAGUUACUUAAUGAAAAUCGGAUCUUCAACAAUUAGCAAACAUACGCACUCGUCACCUCACAUACAAGGCAUUUCAAUUAUCAUAAUACCAAUCCUAAGGGGAAAGUCCCCCACACAAGGUUAGACAAGCCACUUACCUCGAACCGACUCAAUAAUCAAUCCGAAACCACGCUCUUGCCACGAGUACUCGACUCCAAAUGGCCCAAAUCUAUUCAAUUCAAUUUCAUAACGCAAAUAACACUUCAAGUAACUAAUUCUACAAAAGAAUUCUAAGCUAAUACGUGAAAUUGGGUAAAAUGACCAAAAUACACCUCGAGCCCACAUCUCGGAAGCGGGUAAAAUUUAUAUUUUCAUAAUCCUCACACUCUCACGAUCUCAUGCAUACCAAAAUUACCAAAAUCGGACCUCAAAUGGUCCCUCAAAUCAUUACUCAAAGGUCUCCAAUACAAAGCCCUAGUUUCCCCAAAUUUUCACCCUUAAUUUCCACGAAUUCUAGCUCCAAUCCGUGAAAUAAUAGCAUAGGAACGAGUUUUAGGUCCAAAUUCCUCACCUCAAUGAAGUUCCCUUGAAAUCCCUCUUUCAAAUCAUCCCAAAAGCUCCCAAGCCAUGAUAAAAAUGGUGAAAUAAACCCCAAAGUCGCUGAACCCCUUUUAAAAUAAUCUUCCCAUUAGUUUACGCAUCUGCGUCCUUGGGACCCAUGUGCGGAACAAGGGGUAGCAUCUACGACUUACACUUAAAGUCCAAUUUUUGCACCUGCAAUUUCCCAUCCGCAGGUGCGGUACCACUUACCUGAUCAACGCUUUCAGCCUCAAUAUCAACCCCAUGGAUAUCCAUGGGGUCGAUAUUGAGGCUAAAAGCAUUGAGCAGGGAUGCCCACUGGAUCCUAUCGUUGGCGGGGCUCAGCAACAUCUUUUCUAUCAAUGGGAGGACUGUCCCGAGCCACUUGUUCGUUCCAUCUGAACCAAAACUCCCUAAAACCUUCCUUGGGUUUCUUUUCCAUAUGAGAUAGGGAGGAGCGGUCUGGGAUAAAAUCUUCAUUGCACUGAUAGUGCCAAACAAAAUCUUGAGCCAUGUCAUUCCAUGUAUGCCACUUACUAACAUCUUGACGAGUAUGCCAUUCCAAAACUGCCACAAUCAGGCUCUCACUGAAAUACGCCAUCACCAACUAAUCUCUCCUGCCAACACUUCUCAUUCCACUACAAUAACCCCUCAGAUGGGCUACUGGAUCUCCACGGCCAUCAUACAAAUUAAACUUUGGCAUCUUAAACCCUUUCAACUUUCUAAAUAUCUCAUUUUGCUCCACUAUCUUAGUAGGCUUUUCAGUUUCACCGGGAGGCUCAAAAUGAGGAGCGUGAGAGUAUGGAAUCGAGACCUUGAAAAUUGGUUCUGGAGCAUAGUGUUGGGCAUCGGGUACUUUGAACACAGUCUCGUUAGAGGAUCGAGGAAAAAUAGCUCGAGGAGGAGCUACAAGAGCAUAAGUUUCCAAAGGAGCGGGAUAUGAGGUGGUUUGGGGAGGUAGAGUAUGAAAAGGUUGUGGGGUGAUAUCAGUAACAAUAGGAAUCUGGAUUUGUGAUAGGGGUGGGAUAGUUGCAGGGUUUUCAGUAUAGUUAGCAGGGACUGGAGGUGGAGGAUGCCCUCUGAUCCAAGAUUGAUACAUUUCUGUCAUAUGUUGUUUCAACAUUUGGACCUCCCCUUUCAAUUCAGAUUCUGACCCAACAAUCUCCUUAGACGGAUCAAUAACACUUGUGUCCAAGUCUUUGCUAGCCAUGGCUGCCUUGUUCUUUGACCUUGUGUUGUAUGGAUGAGUUACUUAAGAACAACAAACCAACCACCCUUUUUCUAUAAUGAAGAUAACAAAUAGGAAUAGAAUGAAGUUAUCAUGUUAGCGUUAGGGCAUUUGACAGCUACAAAUAUCACAUUGUGUACAAUGCACCUAACAACAAUAAAUGGUUCAAGAAUGACUUCGAGGGUCACAAGGUCACUUGCAUCAUCCCAAUUUUGUUCAUUUCAAUCUUCUCUUUUCUUUUCUUUUCUUUUCUAGCACUUCUUGGCUUGCUCAUAUUCCUUCCCCUUUUUUUCUUUCUGAUUAUCGCUCUUUUCUUUCCUCUAAUUUCCCACGUCCCACAAUUUCAUCCUUUUUUUCUCUUUUCUUUUUUCUUGAUUUCUUUUUUCCUUUGAAAAUAAAAAAAAUGAUUUGAUCGAACCCUAUGUAGGUUACCUACGUAUCAUGACACCGGAUGAAUCAGAUCUUUGCGUAGUUUGGGAAGAUCGGGAAUAAAGCAAACAAACUAACGUUCUCUUUUUCCUUUUUUACCUUAAAGACUACUCUUAUGAAAAAUGAGAAAAAGAAGCAAAUCUUUUUUUUUUGAAUUUUAUAGACUUAAUGUUCUAUAACCUAUUCUAAACUCAGGCUUAAACGAGCAUAUAUCUUUUUUUAAAACAAAUACUCUACAAGAAAUUAUUAAGAAAAAAAAACCUAGCAGAAAAAAAAAUNNNNNNNNNNNNNNNNNNNNNNNNNGUUUUUGGAUUUUUGGAAUUAAUAUCUUAAAGAAAACUUCUAAAGAGGUAUUAGAAGAAAAUUCUCUUUUUUUUAAAUUUUUAGUCUUAAUAAACUAAAGGAAAUUUAAAAGAAAUUUUUAUUUCGAGUUCUAGAUAAUAAUUCAAUAAAGGAAAACCACCUCAAAUGAUUUUUUUUAUUCCUAUAAUUAGUAUUCUAAAGAAAACUUCUAAUGAAAAUAUAAAAGCGCAAAAUUUCUUCUUUUUUUUUGUAUUUUUGAUUUAUAACAUAUUUUCCAGAUACAAAAAUAGGAAAUACAAUAACAAAAGACUCGGAAAACUUAACUAGACUAUGACAAUCUCUAACAUUAUCUAAAAGACUCGACAUUACUGUACAAAACUAGAAGAUAAAAGAUGACGUAAAAAAAGAACAACAGACUCAAAACAUAAUAACUAAAAAAAAUCUUCUUAAGCAAACUCCUGAAUGAGCGACCCUGACUGGAUGGUCCUGGGGUGUCUCUCAUUCCCAAACUCCGGUAAGUAAGUCCACACCUGUAUGAGAAAAUUAAGACCAAAUAAAGUAUAAGACCUAGAACGCUAUGUGAGACAAUAACCCUUCCCGUUGGACACACGCAAGAUAUGAUUGUGACUAUUUUUCUAAAAUUAUUUAUGGGGCCAAAAGAUGGCUAGAAGUGCAAAAUUUUGCUAAGACCCCGCAAAGCCAAGAACCUAAGAUUCACUAGGAAGAUCGGACCCUAUGUGGGUUGCCUACGUAUCACGCCCCGAAAUAUGAAAAUCAGGUAAGUGUAGUUCGGGCAAAUUGGAUAUGGGUGAGAAUUAAAAAAAUAGCCAAUUUAGAGAAAACAUAUUUUUGUCUUUUGAUUUGAAAAAUGAUGAAACAUGUAAACUCUAUUUGGAUUUUCUUUUUCCUCUAUUUUGGGAAAGUGCAAAAUCUUUUUGGUUUUUUUUUCAUUUUUAUUUUUUGAUCUUUUCUUGAAAAAGCGUGAAAGAAAAUUCUAACUGGGCCCCACUUGCUUUAUUUUACACUUCACACUCUUUUCUUUCUCAUUUUCUCUCAACGCGCAUUGGUCCGCCAAAUGAUCCAUUUUACCCUUGAAGAAUGUAACAUAUAGUACAUAGAUAUAUCGAGAGGGCCUUUUAUUUUUUGGGGUACAUCUGUCCUAGACGGACCCAACCCUUGUGUUGAGUCCCCAAAGUCAAAUGCAUAUGAUGCAAUCAAGCGUUCCUACUAGCGAUCCGGUAUGAGGCUGUGUUAUUCUAGAUAUAAAACCUGGAUGUAUUGUUCUAGACCUGGCUUACCCGAGCGGACAACUCAAGCGGGGGGGGGAGGAGGGAGGGCAGCGUACCGGUAACCAAAAGAUUAUCCGUCUUUGCAACUUGUCCGAACCUCAUUCUAAAUUAGGGUAUGACACUAACACAAAGAAGUCACGCUAGCGUGCACUUCUCAGAAGAUUAGAAGAGAGGGGUUUCGUAGUAGUUUAUAUACAUUUCAGAUAAUAUCAAAGCGGUAAAAAGCAAUAUUUAGCCCAUUAGUUCCAAACAUGUAAAUAAAAUCAGAUAAUAAAUAAAGCCAAUUAUAACAGUUAUUCUAAGCUCGAAUUCUUGAACCAUGAACCAAAGGUUCUAGGUUAUGAUCCCCAGCAGAGUCGUCAGACCUGUCACACCUUCUUUUCCCACCCCGAAAGGGUAUAAAGAAGUUUUUUCCAAUUUAAGUGACAAUCGAAACGAGAUUUUUAUUUAAAAUUCAGAGUUGCCACUUGGGAUAAUUUAUGGUAUCCCAAGUCACCGGUUUAAAUCCCGAAUCGAGGAAGUUUGACUUUGUUUUACAGUCUGCGAAACACAGAAAUUCGGGUAAGGAAUUCUGUUAAUCUGGGAGAAGGUGUGAGGCAUUCUCGGGUUUCGUGGUUUUAGCACGGUCGCUCAAAUAUUAUUAUUGGCCUAUUUAUCUGAUUUUAAAAUACUCUUGAAACCUAUGUGCAUUUUUAUUCCUUUUAAACCGCUUUUAAUAAUCCGAUUGUUAUACGACUAAUUAUUCGAUUACACGUUGUGGAUCAUGUCACGGAAAUCGUACCCACAAUCCACAAUAUAUUUAUUUUAUUAACAAGACUAAAUUGUGGCCGGGUCACAUAAAUUUACCCCUGGUUUUAAAUUAUGUAUCACAACUACAUCACAGGAACCGUACCUAUAACUAUGACAAUUUAUUUAAUUAACGCGCCUAAAGCAAACUAUGAGAUUUCAAGGCAUUUUCUACACUAAUUAAGAUAUCGAUGUGAGGGUCAUAAACUAGUUGAUUGGAUGACACACCUCAAUUUUAUUAAAGGAAAAGCAUUCAAUUAAGUGAACUACGGAUAUUCGUAUUUCAAAACUAACUUGAAACUCAGUAUCAUAACUACACCACGGAAACUGUACCCGUAGCUGUAAUGAUUUUACUACAUGCCUAAAUGCAAGCUACGAUGUUCAUGAUUUUCCUAAAACUAAUUUUGACAUUAUUGUGAGUCCAUUGAUUAUGGAAUCAUUGGUGAAUAAGCUGCAUGUUUACCUACUGAUAGUUUAAUAUUGCUACCUAAUUUCUGAGUCAACGGAAAGGCAGCAUCCAAACAACUGCUUGAAACAUAGCCCGAAUUAUCACGUUUACAAGCAAAUGUACUACCUGGAAGUAUUCAACUAUAACAAUCGAACACAAACGAAUUUCACAAAUACUAAUGUGUUAUCUCUUUAACUUAUCUUCACAAUUAUCACCAACCCUCAAUACUACCAUAUACGAUUUAGCAAUAGAAUAAAACUUAUCCUUCAGAAGAUCAACAAAAUACAGCAAGACCUUUCAAACUUUAUACUCAUAGGUCUAAAUUUGAUAAACUAAUCAAUUUCUAAAUACAAGGCCGCAAAAAUGGCUAUUUUUAAAUCAGUCAACUCCCUUUGAGCACAAACCAAACCCAAAUGGCCAUCUACUAUUCCAUUCAACUUCAAAUAUAAGUAACAACUCAACAACACAAUUUAAAUAAGGAAAAACUCAAGGAAAGAAUCAGUAGCACACGACCUAAUCGAACAAGAAUAUAUGCCAAAACCAAUGGAAAACAACAGAAUUCACGACAAAAAUUGCAUCACAGACGGAUACCACAUAAACUAGCUCUUAAACAUUUCCAAUCUAACAGAAUCUCAACUAUCAUUAUAUUUCAAUCAACACCAUAAUAAGAUAAGGAGCAAAGAGAUGAACCCGAAUGUGAAAAGAAAACUUUCAAUUAAUUCCGUUUGGAAGUAGAUACACUUUGAGGUAACGACCAGAGCUUGAAAAAGAAGGAAAUAACAAACAAGUCCCAAUAACACGAAAUGAAACAACGAUUAUGGAUCUCGACAGCGACGAACUCGAACACCUCCAACAACAACCUCAGGCAGAAACUCGAAUCGGCGACUAAAAUUGAAACCUUGAACCUCAGCUAAACUCCAUUUGAAAACCAAAAUUGGAUAUUGAAUGGAUGAAAUAGAAGGAAUAUUUUGUUCUAACUCAAACACCAAUUCCCCUCCUUUUUUUCAACUUUUAAUGUACUGAUUUUUUGCUCAAUUGUUUUUCUUUCUUCUUUUUUCUCUCUGUUCCGAAUAUCUACGAAUGUGUGUGCUCGAUCUGAUGGGGGUUGCUGGUUUUCCGGCGAGUUCGGUGAUGAGAGAGCGACUAGGACUGUUGGUGACUGGUGUUGAGAAUGGGAAGAAGAAGAAACAUCGAUGGGGGGGUGGUCGCCGCUUCUGGUUUCCGGCGAACAACAACUAGUCUUUCGUAGGUCUUUAGGUUUGUUUUUUAGGUGUAUUUUUCGGCUCCUUUAGUCUUAGUAAGAAGAGGGACCUCCUGUACAGGGGGGGUCUCUUUGUUGUGAAUUGCUGAAGAAGAUGAAUUCAGGGGGGAAGCCCCUUUGUGUCAGCGGCGGAUCCUAUCCCUUGUGUGUCUAGGGUUCUAGGUUAUAAUUUUAGGUAGGGAAAUGGGGCGGGUCAGAGGGUUAUUUGGGUCAAGUCCAGUUUUUUCUUGGGCUAAGUAAGGAAAUGGGCUAGUUUAAGUGAAGAAGGG